rnacentral:sRNA from 1 species
UGACUAUAGAUUUUUUUCGUUUCUGGUUCAGAAAGCUUUUGAUUAAUUUGGGCUUUAAUGUAUUUCAAAGUAAAAUUACAUGUUAAUACGUAGUAUUAAUGGCGAGACUCCUGAGGGAGCAGUGCCAGUCGAAGACAGGGGCCCCAACACAGAAGCUGACAUAUAGUCAGCUUACAACAAUGUGCCGGUUGGGGUGGCUGAGACGGCACCCUAGGAAGGGACCCGUCAUCAAAAAUUCUAUUUAUAGAAUUUUACAGUAAUGUGACAGACGGGCAAAGCGAAGCCAUUCAAUACGAAGUAUUGUAUAAAUAGAGAACAGCAGUAAGAUAUUUUCUAAUUGAAAAUUAUCUUACUGCUGUUUUUUUAGGGAUUUAUGUCCCAGCCAUUUUUGUAUUCAUAUUUAAAUUUCGAUAAUUCUUCAGGAAGCAUUUUAAUUUUACUAAUGAAGCAAUAUUUUUUAGAUUAACAAAAAUUAAUAUUUACAUUUUCUUAACAAAUUUUUAUGUAACAUUUACAGUUUCUAAAAAUGAG